AUUCGAUGUGGCGAGGCUGCGCUGGCCUCAAAGAUGACAAACCACUUGGAGAAAGGAAAUUACGUAGAAUGCCCCACGAUAGCAUGGAGAGAAAGCAGGCAUAGCAGGGGUUUUCCUUACAGUCAUUGAACAAGAUGCAGAGGCAACACACUCAGAUGCAGGCAAGGAGCAAGGAACAAUCUGGCACCGAUGUGUUCAAUAUGUUCAGACGCCCUGCAUAAGAAGGCCAGACCAUUUGCUCGCUCGCCAGAGUCAAAACAAAGCCGCCGUGAAUGGAGAGGACUAAUGUAUAGUGACGAGUCAAGGUCAAAGCUUACUAUAGUAAGUAUACUUCACCAGCCUCAUCCUGAUUGGAGCAGCAUUCUCCAAUCACAUUUCUCUCAAGGUUUUAUAUUUAUACACUCAACCUCUUCAAUCAAACACUGGAAGCCUGACUUGAGUGUUUGUUUACAGGAGAAUACAUAUUUGACUGUCACAUGACUUACCUGAACAGGUCCGAUGCUUUUGUUCCUCCCCCCUGGCAUGCCGUCCUCUCUGAUUGCUGCGUGGUACAGGUAAAGCAACCGUUACACGUUUACGUAAUCAUUCUUUAGUGGUGAGUCGUGUACAUAUGACACUUGAGAUGUGUCUCGUAAGCGUGGGAGACAUAUUGAUGAGAGACACGGAGGAUCGUGGCGCUCAAUCUAAUUUAAUAACUCAGGGGUGUCCAAAGUGUGGCCUGGGGCCCAUUUGCAGCCCGCUGCUUUUCCAUUGUCCUGCAGCACAUCCUUAAAACGCAGUGUAACAAACAAAAAAACAAUAGUAAAAAUGGACAAAUCCGCAGUCAUUUUACAAGAAUAAUGUAGAAAACAUGAAGAGAAAAAAGUUGAAAAAGAAAAAAAAUGAAGACAAUAAUGUAAUA